AGUACAGAGGUCGCUGGGGGACGAUAUGCGAUGACGGUUUCGAUGACCUUGAAGCAAAAGUCAUUUGUCGCAUGCUUGGUUUUAGCACAAAUGAUUCCAAAGCCUUGGGCGGAAGUUAUUAUGGUGAAGGCACAGGGGAUAUAGUAGUGGACGAAAUGCGUUGUAUUGGCAACGAAUAUGACAUUUCUGAAUGUAAAUCAAGCGACUGGAUGUCUCCAUCGAACUGCAAUCACAUGGAAGAUGCAUCGAUUUAAUGCAAAACGGAAGUUCGUUUAUCAGAUGGACCCACCAGGUAUGCAGGUCGACUCGAAAUACAGAAUAAUUCUGUUUAUGAGACAGUUUGUACUGACCUCGUAGAUAACAAGACGGCAGCGGUCGUGUGCAGGAUGCUAGGGUUUGAAGGAGGAAACAUAAGUGUUUAUUACGAUGGCCGUUUCAAAAAUGGUAGCGGAUCGAUGAAAUCGCAUGGAUACCACUGUCAAGGGAACGAGACCGAUAUUGCAAAUUGCAAAUCAACAGAAACUAUCGUUUCAUGUUCUACAAGACUUAGCGCUGCAUUAAAUUGUUAUUCGUACACACCAAUAAGGCUUCAGGACGGGACGACGAUGUUCAAUGGAAGAGUUGAGAUUUACGUACGAGAAAACGCAGCAAACGGGUACUGAAGGGAAAUGUGUUACGAUCAAUUGACUUUCCAGGAUGCGAUGGUUUUGUGUAAAAUGCUUGGGCAUCCUAAUGUG